CAAACGACUCUCGGCAACGGAUAUCUCGGCUCUUGCAUCGAUGAAGAACGUAGCGAAAUGCGAUACUUGGUGUGAAUUGCAGAAUCCCGUGAACCAUCGAGUCUUUGAACGCAAGUUGCGCCCGAAGUCUUUUAGACCGAGGGCACGUCUGCCUGGGCGUCACAC
rnacentral:rRNA from 2 species